rnacentral:other from 1 species
GUUCACUGCCGUACAGGAAGCUUAGAAA